CGGAGGAGGACGUUCUGUGUGUGGCUCUUUCUUGUUGCGUGUCCUGAAGCAUAUCCUUAUUGACAUCUAGGAUACUGUCUAUAGUAUACCUGGGGACAAAUGUGGUUAGCUUCGUUCCUUAAGAACCUCGAAGGAUCGCUGAAGGACUGUUCAAAACCAAGUGUGUCUAGGUUCACCCACAAGGACUCUCAGAAAAUAUAAUAACCCAGUGAAGGACUUAUGUAGGAUUCCCCUUUUGAUUCUCCCGAGAGAUCCUUUGAAGACAACUAAGGACCCUCAAACAACCUCCUAAAAACCCCUCUGUAGGACCCAGCCAGUAGGACCCCCAGAUGACCCCGGACAACUAAGGACGUACAAAUAACCCCUAAAGAACUCCUCUGUAGGACCCCGCCAGUAGGACUCCCACAGGACCCCGGAUAACUAAGGACACUCAUGCAACUUCCUAAAGAACCCCUCUGUAGGACCCCUUCAGUAGGACCCCAAGAGGACCCUGUACAACUAAGGAUCCUCAAACAACCUCCUAAAAAACCUGCUGUAGGACCGCGCCAGUAGGACCGCCUCCCCCACCGCCUUCCCCCCAGGACCCCAGGAGCAUCCCUUGGGAGCGCGUGGACGACAACAAGAGUGUGGGUGUGACUUACCGUGUCACGAGCGUGGUGUUCAUGCCUGGCCGCAUCUCGCCACCGCACCACCAUCACAGCCACCGCCACAAUGCCUCCCACGCCCGCUGCUACCACUAUAACGGCAGAGAGAAGCGCCACAAGAAGUCUGCCUCGCCCUCCUUCGUUCCCACUGUCCCCCACGUCAAGUCUCGGCGGCAUUCCUGUGUAGGGGAAGCAGGAACAGAUUGCAAGGAAGGAGGAAGCGACGUCCACCCUUCCACCUUCAUCCAGACAGAUAUAGACGGACACUCUUAGCCAGUCAGACUCAGCCACUCAGCCACUCGCAGCGCCUCGCCAGACAACUCACUGAUGCAUUGACUCCUUUGACUUCUCUGUAAGCGCGCCGUACCUCCUCCCGCUGCCUUACCCGCUGGAGCCUCGUAAAAUCAACGAAA